rnacentral:rRNA from 1 species
UACGUAGGGUGCGAGCGUUAAUCGGAAUUACUGGGCGUAAAGCGUGCGCAGGCGGUUUUGUAAGCCAGGUGUGAAAUCCCCGGGCUCAACCUGGGAAUGGCAUUUGGGACUGCAAGGCUGGAGUGCGGCAGAGGAGACUGGAAUUCCUGGUGUAGCAGUGAAAUGCGCAGAUAUCAGGAGGAACACCGGUGGCGAAGGCGGUUCUCUGGGCAUGUCCUGACGCUGAGGAGCGAAAGUGUGGGGAGCGAACAGG